UCCAUUGAUGACCAUGAUAAAAACAUACAAACUAGAGUUUCUGAACUUUAAUGAUUAGAAAACUGAUCAUGCAUAUCUCACUGAGG
rnacentral:snoRNA from 24 species